UGAAGCGGGAAAAGCUCAAAUUUAAAAUCUGGCGGUGUAUGCUGUCCGAAUUGUAGCCUAGAGAAGUGUUACCUGCAUUGGACUGUGUAUAAGUCUCCUGGGAUGGAGCGUCAUAGAGGGUGAGAAUCCCGUGUUUGACACAGAUUACGCGAUGCGUUGUGGUAUGCUCUCAAAGAGUUGAGUUGUUUGGGAAUGCAGCUCUAAAUGGGUGGUAAAUUCCAUCUAAAGCUAAAUAUUGGCGAGAGACCGAUAGCGAACAAGUACCGUGAGGGAAAGAUGAAAAGAACUUUGGAAAGAGAGUUAAACAGUAUGUGAAAUUGUUGAAAGGGAAACGUUUAAAGUCAGUUAUAUUGAUUAGGGAUCAGACUACCAGAUUAAAUGGUGGUCGCAUUUCCUAGUUGAUAGGUCAACAUCAGUUUGGACGGCUAGAGAAAAACAAUGGGGAAUGUGGCACCUUUUGGUGUGUUUAUAGACCCGUGUUAUAUAAAGCAGUUAAGACUGAGGAAGCAGCACGCCUUUGUUUGAAGGCAAGAGGUUUCGACUUCAUUUUCGUGCUUAGGAUGUUGGCAUAAUGAUUUUAAGCGACCCGUCUUGAAACACGGACCAAGGAGUCUAACAUGCGUGCGAGUAUUAGGGAAAUAGAAAACCCUUGUGCGUAAUGAAAGUGAUAGUUGAGAUCCCCUCAGGGGAGCAUCGAUGCCCAGACCAGAACUUUUGGGACGGAUCUGCGGUAGAGCAAGCAUGUUGGGACCCGAAAGAUGGUGAACUAUGCCUGAAUAGGGCGAAGCCAGAGGAAACUCU
rnacentral:rRNA from 1 species